UAAAAGGUGGCUUCGGCUACCACUUACAGAUGGACCCGCGGCGCAUUAGCUAGUUGGUGAGGUAAUGGCUCACCAAGGCGACGAUGCGUAGCCGACCUGAGAGGGUGAUCGGCCACACUGGGACUGAGACACGGCCCAGACUCCUACGGGAGGCAGCAGUAGGGAAUCUUCCGCAAUGGACGAAAGUCUGACGGAGCAACGCCGCGUGAGUGAUGAAGGUUUUCGGAUCGUAAAGCUCUGUUGUUAGGGAAGAACAAGUACCGUUCGAAUAGGGCGGUACCUUGACGGUACCUAACCAGAAAGCCACGGCUAACUACGUGCCAGCAGCCGCGGUAAUACGUAGGUGGCAAGCGUUGUCCGGAAUUAUUGGGCGUAAAGGGCUCGCAGGCGGUUUCUUAAGUCUGAUGUGAAAGCCCCGGCUCAACCGGGAGGGUCAUUGGAAACUGGGGAACUUGAGUGCAGAAGAGGAGAGUGGAUUCC
rnacentral:rRNA from 1 species